rnacentral:rRNA from 1 species
GCUCGCGUACCAUUAGCUAGUUGGUGAGGUAAAGGCUCACCAGGGCGACGAUGGUUAGCUGGUCUGAGAGGAUGAUCAGCCACACCGGAACUGGAACACGGUCCGGACUCCUACGGUAGGCAGCAGUGAGGAAUUUUGCGCAAUGGGGGAAACCCUGACGCAUCAACGCCGCGUGAGUGAUGAAGGCUUUCGGGUCGUACAGCUCUGUCAGGUGGGAAGAACCCACCAAGUGUUAAGACCACUUGGUGCUGACGGUACCACCGAACGAAGCACCGGCUAACUCCGUGCCAUCAGCCGCGGUAAUACGGGGGGUGCGAGCGUUAUUCGGAAUCAUUGGGCGUAUAGGGCGCGUAUGCGGUUUUGUCCGUCAGAUGUGAUAUCCCGGGGCUUAAUCCCGGAAGUGCAUAUGAGACUAUGAGACUUGAGUAUGGGAGAGGGAAGCGGAAUUCCUGGUGUAUCGGUGACAUGCGUGGAUAUCAGGAGGAACACCGGUGGCGAAGGCGGCUUCCUGGACCAAUACUGACGCUGAGGCGCGAAGGCGUGGGGAGCGAACAGGAUUAGAUACCCUGGUAGUCCACGCAGUAGACGUUGAUCACUAGGUGUACCGGGUAUUGACCCCUGCUGUGCCGGAGUUAACGCAUUAAGUGAUCCGCCUGGGGAGUACGAUCGCAAGAUUAAAACUCAAAGGAAUCGACGGGGGCCCGCACAAGCGGUGGAGCAUGUGGU